UACGUAGGUGGCAAGCGUUGUCCGGAUUUAUUGGGUUUAAAGGGUGCGUAGGCGGCUUUGUAAGUCAGUGGUGAAAUACGGUAGCUCAACUAUCGAGGUGCCAUUGAUACUGCAGAGCUUGAGUACAGAUGAGGUAGGCGGAAUUGACGGUGUAGCGGUGAAAUGCUUAGAUAUCGUCAAGAACUCCUAUAGCGAAGGCAGCUUACUAGGCUGUAACUGACGCUGAGGCACGAAAGUGUGGGGAUCAAACAGGAUUAGAUACCCUGGUAGUCCACACUGUAAACGUUGAUGACUCGCUGUGUGCGAUAUACAGUACGCGGCUUAGCGAAAGCGAUAAGUCAUCCACCUGGGGAGUACGCCGGCAACGGUGAA
rnacentral:rRNA from 1 species